GAAAUGCGAUAAGUAAUGUGAAUUGCAGAAUUCAGUGAAUCAUCGAAUCUUUGAACGCACCUUGCGCUCCUUGGUAUUCCUUGGAGCAUGCCUGUUUGAGUAUCAUGAAAUCUUCAAAGUAAAUCUUUUGUUAACUCAAUUGGUUUCUACUUUGGUAUUGGAGGUCUUUGCAGCUUCACACCUGCUCCUCUUUGUUCAUUAGCUGGAUCUCAGUGUUAUGCUUGGUUCCACUCGGCGUGAUAAGUUAUCUAUCGCUGAGGACACUGUAAAAGGUGGCCAAGGUAAAUGCAGAUGAACCGCUUCUAAUAGUCCAUUGACUUGGACAAUACUUUUAUGAUCUGAUCUCAAAUCAGGUAGGACUAACCGCUGAACUUAAGC
rnacentral:misc_RNA from 1 species